UGGGGCGUGGCCAAGUGGUAAGGCAACGGGUUUUGGUCCCGCUAUGUCGGAGGUUCGAAUCCUUCCGUCCCAG
rnacentral:tRNA from 1 species